rnacentral:rRNA from 1 species
GACGAACGCUGGCGGCGUGCUUAACACAUGCAAGUCGAACGAUGAAACCUAGCUUGCUAGGUCGAUUAGUGGCGAACGGGUGAGUAACACGUGACUAACCUGCCCCUUUCUCUGGGAUAACGCUCCGAAAGGAGUGCUAAUACCGGAUACUUACAUCGAGGCACAUGCCUUGGUGUGGAAAGCUUUUCGGAAGGGGAUGGAGUCGCGGGCUAUUAGCUUGUUGUUGAGGUAACGACCCACCAAGGCGACGACGGGUAGCCGGCCUGAGAGGGAGAACAGCCACAAUGAGACUGAGACACGGCCCAGUCUCCUCGGGGAGGCAGCAGUGGGGAAUAUUGCACUAUGGGCGUAAGCCUAAUGCAGCGACGCCGCGUGAGGGAUGAAGGUCUUCGGAUUGUAAACCGCUUUCAGUAGGGACGAAGCGAAAGUGACGGUACCUAAAGAAGAAGCACCGGCUAACUACGUGCCAGCCGCCGCAGUAACAC